GCCCUUAGAGUUUGAUCCUGGCUCAGGAUAAACGCUGGCGGCGUGCCUAACACAUGCAAGUCGAACGCGCUUCGCAAGAAGUGAGUGGCGGACGGGUGAGGAACACGUGGAUACCUACCCCCGAGUGAGGAAUACCGGCGAGAAAUCGCCGACAAUACCGCAUAGGCUCCGUAAGGAGCAAAGUCGCAAGACGCUCGAGGCUGGGUCUGCGUCGGAUUAGCUAGUUGGUGGGGUAAUGGCCUACCAAAGCGACGAUCCGUAGCUGGUCUGAGAGGAUGAUCAGCCACACUGGGAUUGAGAACGGCCCAGACUCCUACGGGGGGCAGCAGUGAGGAAUUUUCGGCAAUGGGCGCAAGCCUGACCGAGCAACGCCGCGUGCAGGAUGACGGUCUUCGGAUUGUAAACUGCUUUUCUCUGGGACGAGCAAGGACGGUACCAGAGGAAUCAGCCCCGGCUAACUACGUGCCAGCAGCCGCGGUAAUACGUAGGGGGCAAGCGUUGUCCGGAUUUACUGGGCGUAAAGCGCACGCAGGCGGUCAGUUACGUUUGUGGUGACAGCUCCCGGCUUCACUGGGAGAGUGCUACGAAAACGGGCUGACUUGAGGACCAGAGAGGGAUACGGAACUCCGGGUGGAGUGGUGAAAUGCGUAGAUAUCCGGAAGAACACCAAAGGCGAAGGCAGUGUCCUGGCUGGUUCCUGACGCUCAGGUGCGAAAGCUAGGGGAGCAAACGGGAUUAGAUACCCCGGUAGUCCUAGCCGUAAACGAUGACCACUAGGUGUGGGAGGUAUCGACCCCUUCCGUGCCGCAGUCAACACAAUAAGUGGUCCGCCUGGGGAGUACGGUCGCAAGAUUAAAACUCAAAUGAAUUGACGGGGAAGGCGAAUUCUG
rnacentral:rRNA from 1 species